rnacentral:rRNA from 1 species
CCUGGGGAGUACGCCCGCAAGGGUGAAACUCAAAGGAAUUGACGGGGGCCCGCACAAGCGGUGGAGCAUGUGGUUUAAUUCGAUGAUGGUAAAACUGGUAACUGGGGCU